rnacentral:rRNA from 1 species
AUUGAACGCUGGCGGAAUGCUUUACACAUGCAAGUCGAACGGCAGCACGGACUUCGGUCUGGUGGCGAGUGGCGAACGGGUGAGUAAUGUAUCGGAACGUGCCCAGUCGUGGGGGAUAACGUAGUGAAAAUUACGCUAAUACCGCAUACGAUCUAUGGAUGAAAGCGGGGGAUCGCAAGACCUCGCGCGAUUGGAGCGGCCGAUAUCAGAUUAGGUAGUUGGUGGGGUAAAGGCCCACCAAGCCAACGAUCUGUAGCUGGUCUGAGAGGACGGCCAGCCACACUGGAAGUGAGACACGGCCCAGACUCCUACGGGAGGCAGCAGGGGGGAAUUUUGAACAAGGGGCAAAGGCCUGAUCCAGCCAUUCCGCGUGCAGGAUGAAGCCCCUCGGGUGGAAACCUGCUUUUGUACAGAAAGAAAAGGUUUCUCCUAAUACUGGGGGCUCAUGACGGUACUGUAAGAAUAAGCACCGGCUAACUACGUGCCAGCAGCCGAAGUAA